rnacentral:rRNA from 1 species
UACGGAAGGGGCUAGCGUUGUUCGGAAUUACUGGGCGUAAAGAGCGCGCAGGCGGCUUACCAAGUUGGGGGUGAAAUCCCGGAGCUCAACUCCGGAACUGCCUUCAAAACUGGUAGGCUCGAGUCCGGAAGAGGGGCGUGGAAUUCCCAGUGUAGAGGUGAAAUUCGUAGAUAUUGGGAAGAACACCGGUGGCGAAGGGGGCGCCCGGGUCCGGUAUUGACGUUGAGGCGCGAAAGCGUGGGGAGCAAACAGG